rnacentral:rRNA from 1 species
GAUGAACGCUGGCGGCGUGCCUAAUACAUGCAAGUCGAGCGAAUGGAUUAAGAGCUUGCUCUUAUGAAGUUAGCGGCGGACGGGUGAGUAACACGUGGGUAACCUACCCAUAAGACUGGGAUAACUCCGGGAAACCGGGGCUAAUACCGGAUAACAUUUUGAACCGCAUGGUUCGAAAUUGAAAGGCGGCUUCGGCUGUCACUUAUGGAUGGACCCGCGUCGCAUUAGCUAGUUGGUGAGGUAACGGCUCACCAAGGCAACGAUGCGUAGCCGACCUGAGAGGGUGAUCGGCCACACUGGGACUGAGACACGGCCCAGACUCCUACGGGAGGCAGCAGUAGGGAAUCUUCCGCAAUGGACGAAAGUCUGACGGAGCAACGCCGCGUGAGUGAUGAAGGCUUUCGGGUCGUAAAACUCUUUCGUUGGGGAAGAAAUGCUCAAAGAUAAUACAUUUGAGAGCUGACGUUACCCAAAGAAAAAGCACCGGCUAACUACGUGCCAGCCGCCGCGGUAA